GGGCCCGCACAAGCGGUGGAGCAUGUGGUUUAAUUCGAUGCAACGCGAAGAACCUUACCUACUCUUGACAUCCAGAGAACUUUUCAGAGAUGAAUUGGUGCCUUCGGGAACUCUGAGACAGGUGCUGCAUGGCUGUCGUCAGCUCGUGUUGUGAAAUGUUGGGUUAAGUCCCCGCAAGAUGCGCAACCCACGUCUUUAGGUUGCCAGCAUUUAGUUGGGCACUCUAGAGAGACUGCCGGUGAUAAACCGGAGGAAGGUGUGGAUGACGUCAAGUCAUCAUGCCCCUUACAUCCUGGGCUACACACGUGCUACAAUGGCCGGUACAGAGAGCAGCCACUACGCGAGUAGGAG
rnacentral:rRNA from 1 species